GAGAAUGUGGCUCUGUGGUAGAGUGCUUGCCUUGCAUGCAUGAAGCCCUGGGUUCCAUUCCUCAGCACACAUA
rnacentral:tRNA from 1 species